rnacentral:rRNA from 1 species
GAUGAACGCUGGCGGCGUGCUUAACACAUGCAAGUCGAACGAGGUCCAACCUUCGGGUGAAGACCGAGUGGCGAACGGGUGAGUAACACGUGGGGAACCUGCCCUUCUCUCUGGGAUAACGUCGAGAAAUCGGUGCUAAUACCGGAUACUCCUUGCGGAUCGCAUGGUCUGCUCGGGAAAGCUCCGGCGGAGAAGGAUGGCCCCGCGGCCCAUUAGCUAGUUGGUGAGGUAAUGGCCCACCAAGGCAACGAUGGGUAGCCGAGCUGAGAGGCUGAUCGGCCACACUGGGACUGAGACACGGCCCAGACUCCUACGGGAGGCAG